GUGGCCAAGUUUAUUCAUGGGGAAAAGGUGACAACCAGAGACUUGGACACAGAACAGAGGAAUAUGUUCGUUAUCCAAAACUCUUAGAAGGCUUGCAAGGCUUCUGAGAUAAGUUGCAGAGUAAGAAGUUUACUGUGUCAUUGAAUGGUAUUUGAAUUUCACUUGCCUUCUUGUUUAUAUUCACCUCCAUUAGUAUAGGAAAGCUAUGACAAUUAUUAGAUACAGAAAUCGUUUACUUUGAGGGUAUUUAAAUUACUGUUGAAAACACCUUUUGUUGUUGCUGAUGUUAACUUAUGGUAAGCUCCUAGGAUAGAAUUGUUCCCCUUACUGCAGUGUGUUUUUUCAGCUGAAUUAUUUUAUAUGUUGACAUUUCUGUGAAACACCCUUUGUGUUGGUCAUGUUAGAUUUACCAGGAAAGAAAAA